ACAAUGGAGAGUUUGAUCCUGGCUCAGGAUGAACGCUAGCGGCAGGCCUAAUACAUGCAAGUCGGACGGGAUU
rnacentral:rRNA from 1 species